AGGAAAACCUAAUCGUGUGUUCCAAUCUUAACCUCUGUUUCUCUCUCUCGCCGUCGUGAAUCGCUCCGGGGUUUCCAGCCACCAGAAUGCUCCUGCAUCUUCGUGAGUCCUCCGUCUCCGUCUAUUCUCCAUCGUGAGUCCUCUCCUUCGAAUGCUCUUGCAUCUUCGUGAAUCAUCUCCGUCAAGCGCUUCGGCAACAUCGUGAAUCAUCGUUAUCGACUGUGUCACAUCCAUUUCGUUCAUCGGGUUGUUUCACUUUCUAUUGCGCGUUUUGUUACUCGGAUUAUAGUGUAAAUACUUAUUCUUCUCCCCUACUUCACUCCAUUUUAACCCUGGGUUCUUUGUUUCAGAGUUGAUAAAUAGUAGAUUCGAUGUUGAUGGUGAUGAGGUUAUCUAGACGAAACAGAGGACAGAAGGAAAAGAUGAUUGAAGACUUGAUCCUUACAUAAUCCAAUUGUGAGAUGACAAGAGGUAAAUAAAACCUAAUAUUUUCAAAGGUUUAUUAUAAUCUGUAUCUUGCACACAUAGUGUUUGAUAAAAGCUCUCAACCAAGUCCUUUCUUUUCUUUUGACACUGGAUUUUUGUGUUGUUGUUAUUAUUUGUUGAAGGUGAUGGUUGUUAGUUAACAGUAGUUUGUUUUGUUUGAAAAAAGAGAAAACCCAUGUGAGGAAGGUGAUGGUAUGAGAUAUGGUUUAUGUGAGUAUUGGUGUGGGGGCUGUGUUCAAAGUAGAGGAGAAGUGAUUUGUGCCGAACAACAACUGCAGGUUGUUUUUCACGGUUUCAAUUGCCUUCACUGAGUUUUUUUUGGUUAGUUUUUGUGUGUGAAAAUUAGAUCUUGUUAUGCUUUUGUUUUGUGCAUGGUGUUCUGACUGUUCUCUGUUUUAGGUGGAUUUAUUUGGUGUUUUGAUGAAGAACUUUUUAAAGCCAAACUAGGAAAAUGUGUUUAUAAGCUUUAGUUUUCAGUGGAUUUAUUUGGUGAUGGUUCAAUUCAGAAGCUUGAUGUUCAGAAGCACUUGAAGAAUUUGAACAGGCCGCCGGUUAAGUCUAUCAAGGUAGUGCCACUCUUUUUCUUAGCUUUUUGUUUCCUUUUUACUCUGUUACUUUUUCAUUAUUACAUAACGGUUUUUUCCAGAAUUCUCAUAAUCAUAAUAUAUUAGGAUAUGCUUUAGCAAUCUAUAAUCAAAGUGAUAGCUAUCAAUAUAAUCCCUCCAUUCAAACCUAUUCCUCUGUCAUAAUCAUAAUAUAUGUAAGUAAGAAUUUUCGUACGUUAUUCGAUGGAUAAUCUACACACAUAUGGAUAAUAUUUUGCUAGAGCCACAAGUUUUGUUCUUUUUUUCUUCUUCAUAAAUCCAAUAACAAGGUUCUGUUCUGGUAGCUAAAUGAAGCAUUUGUUUCUUACCCCAAUAAGUAAGAAACAAUAAGAAAAAAAAGUUUAUGAGAGCAUUCAUACCACUAGAUUUUUGGAUAAAGUAGAGGAUCCAAAUUCAAAAAUUGUUGUACGUAAGUGAGAUUAGUCAAUAUCCAUAGCACUAGAUUAUGUUCAUUUCCUUAAGUGUAACAAAAGUGGUUGUAGUCUAACGUAAAUGAGUGGACUUAUGUAUAUAUCAUUUGCAUGUUAAAUACUUUAGAGUCAUAUGUAUUCCAUAUUCUUAAAACUAGAACUCUUCAAGUGUACGUAGAAUUCAUAGCCAUUGCGGUAGAAAAGAAAUUUUUCAUGGGUUUUUUCGUGCAACUCCAUCAAUUACUCUCAAGUAAAAAAUGAUCAUAAUAAAUAAUAAAUAUCUCUUUUAAAAAAUUUAACAUUGUUGUAUGUUUAUGAUUGAGUUUGAUCUCGAAACCUCGAAUUAGGCUAUACGAAAUAAUUAUGAUUCCAUUCAAGUGCAAUUUUGGUUCGGUUCUGUCAGAAAUUGAAUUCUCAACUUGAUAAGCUUAGCUUAGCUUUCAUUUGUUGCAUUGUAUCUUGUUAAUUUGAAUUCCAAGCAAUUGUGGUUAUAGUUCUGUCUGUUAUGGUUCUCUCUAAUUCAAGAGGUUAGUCAAUGUAGUUGCAACCAAUUGUGAAGGAACCAUUCACCGCCGUCGAACCUUCUCCGGCAGCAGCAAUGGCGACUCGUGAUGGCGGUAUCAAGUAUUCAUCAAUUAAUGGUGUAAAAAUGUACACAAUAGCUUCACAGCAAUCCUCACUUGCUUCAUGGGUUCCAACUAAGCAGCAAUCUCACCAUCCUGUCAAAAAAUGUGGAUAAGAGGGUGAAGUAUGCAUACCUAAUACUGUAUGCUAAAGAAUGUGGACAAGGAUACUCUUAAGUGGAAGAUUCCUUAUUCAGUAUGUCAGAAAUUGUCCUUGGGAGAGAGGGUGAAGUCCUGUGUUGUCUCUGAAGUCGUGAUUAGACGAUCUUGAAUACCUACAUUCUAAAGGAACAAACAUCCAGAAUUCACUGCCUGGUUGGCAGAAGUAAAGCUGGGUGCUAUAACACAUGAAGAUUUUGAAGGACACAAAGGAACCAUAGAAGCUGGUGACUUGCAGUGGAUGACUGCUGCUCAAGGAAUCCAAAAGGGUUUGCAGCUAUGGAUAAACCUUGCUUCCCAACAUAAAAUUGUUCAUAGUUGCUCGCCUGUUGGUCCAAGAUUUAAUGUCAAAGUGCAUGAUGGUUUGAACAUAACUCUAAUUGUAGAUGCUUUUGAAGCAUCAUGAUGGUGGACACUAGAUCCUUUUCUUAGAAUAUUUUGAGAUGAGGAUAAAUAUGUUUUUUUGUAAUUGAUUAAUAUUAUUGGUUUAGA